CAUAGAUCCUCAAAACUAACAGGACUAAAGAAACCUGGAAAACUGAUCCAUUGCCCCUUUUCCAUUAGUACCUACUCUACGUGACUUGUGUCAGGUCAGCUACAUGGUUUAGUUACUUUUCAAUUACAAUUGAGUAUCAUCUCAAUGUGGGCAGGAUCGUCAAUAGCAAGGCGACCCAACAGUCUGAAAAAGUAAUGUGAUGUGAUUUGUAUUUGACACAAACACAACAACAGGCUUGACUGCUGCUUGGUCUAUGGUUAUUGUCAGACUCAUAAAAAAGAGACCCGGAGAAGGCUGCGGGCAGCAAGAUGAAGAAUAAGUACAGGAGAGAGAGAAGCCAUGGAGCAGUAUUAAACUGAAUGGUGCAAUCUAGAGGACGUGUGAGAAGCAACAAAUGCGGAACGAGAGCACAGGGAUUAGCUGCAACUGAGUGAAGGAGAGAGGAAGAAAUCACUUUUUAAGCAUUGCCUGAAUUAGGAAAGAAGAGCUACAGUGUCAACAACGGUUCAUGCAAAAAAAGUAAAAGACUGAUAGAAGAGGAGAGAGGAGGAAAAUAGAAAGAUAGAAAAAAGAGUGAAAGAGCAGAGGAAAAUUGGAAGAGUUAAAGAGAGAGGAUGAAAAUAGACUGACAAAAAGAAGAGUAAAGCUAAGAGGAAGAAAAGAGCAGAAAAGUGUUUCACAGAAAAAGGAGGAAGACAGAUACAUUACUACCAAGAUUACUUUAUUAGUUUUACCGCUCUUGGGAAAUGCUAACAACAGUGUGAAUAGACACUUUCUUGCCAUUACACCUGAUUUGUAUUGUUUAAUUAUGAAUAAAUAUUUUAAAAUAAA